CAAAAGAGCAUUGUAAAGCGAUAACAACGAGAAGUGGAAGGGAGUUGAUUAGUGAGAGUAAAAAAAGAGAUGAGAGUGAAAAAAGAGAGGAUGAGAAAAAAGAUGAGGAGAAAAAAAUAGAGGAUAGUAUUGAUGGUGAAGUUGGGGAGUGGAGUGAGGAAGAAGUUGAAAAGAAUGAAAAAAAUGGUGAAGUAGAAAAUAAAGAAAGUGUGGAAGU
rnacentral:lncRNA from 1 species